CCUACGGGGGGCAGCAGUAGGGAAUCUUCCACAAUGGGCGAAAGCCUGAUGGAGCAACGCCGCGUGGGUGAAGAAGGUCUUCGGAUCGUAAAACCCUGUUGUUAGAGAAGAAAGUGCGUGAGAGUAACUGUUCACGUAUCGACGGUAUCUAACCAGAAAGCCACGGCUAACUACGUGCCAGCAGCCGCGGUAAUACGUAGGUGGCAAGCGUUAACCGGUUUUAUUGGGCGUAAAGGGAACGCCGGCGGUCUUUUAAGUCUGAUGUGAAAGCCUUCGGCUUAACCGGAGUAGUGCAUUGGAAACUGGGAGACUGGAGUGCAGAAGAGGAGAGUGGAACGCCAUGUGUAGCGGUGAAAUGCGUAGAUAUAUGGAAGAACACCAGUGGCGAAGGCGGCUCUCUGGUCUGUAACUGACGCUGAGGUUCGAAAGCGUGGGUAGCAAACAGGAUUAGAUACCCCGGUAGUC
rnacentral:rRNA from 1 species